UAGGGAAUCUUCCGCAAUGGACGCAAGUCUGACGGAGCAACGCCGCGUGAGUGAAGAAGGAUUUCGGUUCGUAAAACUCUGUUGUUAGAGAAGAACAGCGCAUAGAGUAACUGUUAUGCGUGUGACGGUAUCUAACCAGAAAGCCACGGCUAACUACGUGCCAGCAGCCGCGGUAAUACGUAGGUGGCAAGCGUUGUCCGGAUUUAUUGGGCGUAAAGCGAGCGCAGGCGGUCAAUUAAGUCUGAUGUGAAAGCCCCCGGCUCAACCGGGGAGGGUCAUUGGAAACUGGUUGACUUGAGUGCAGAAGAGGAGAGUGGAAUUCCAUGUGUAGCGGUGAAAUGCGUAGAUAUAUGGAGGAACACCAGUGGCGAAGGCGACUCUCUGGUCUGUAACUGACGCUGAGGCUCGAAAGCGUGGGUAGCAAACAGGAUUAGAUACCCUGGUAGUCCACGCCGUAAACGAUGAGUGCUAAGUGUUGGAGGGUUUCCGCCCUUCAGUGCUGCAGUUAACGCAUUAAGCACUCCGCCUGGGGAGUACGACCGCAAGGUUG
rnacentral:rRNA from 1 species